CCUACGGGAGGCAGCAGUGAGGAAUAUUGGUCAAUGGGCGCGAGCCUGAACCAGCCAAGUAGCGUGAAGGAUGACUGCCCUACGGGUUGUAAACUUCUUUUAUAAAGGAAUAAAGUGAGGCACGUGUGCCUUUUUGUAUGUACGUUAUGAAUAAGGAUCGGCUAACUCCGUGCCAGCAGCCGCGGUAAUACGGAGGAUCCGAGCGUUAUCCGGAUUUAUUGGGGUUAAAGGGAGCGUAGAUGGGUUGUUAAGUCAGUGGUGAAAGUUUGCGGCUCAACCGUAAAAUUGCCAUUGAUACUGGCAGUCUUGAGUACAGUUGCGCUAGGCUGAAUUCGUGGUGUAGCGGUGAACUGCUUAGAUAUCACGAAGAACUCCGAUUGCGAAGGCAGCUUACUAAACUGCCACUGCCAUUGCUGCUCG
rnacentral:rRNA from 1 species